rnacentral:rRNA from 1 species
UGCGUAGGUGGUUAUUUAAGUCCGUUGUGAAAGCCCUGGGCUCAACCUGGGAACUGCAGUGGAUACUGGGCGACUAGAGUGUGGUAGAGGGUAGCGGAAUUCCUGGUGUAGCAGUGAAAUGCGUAGAGAUCAGGAGGAACAUCCAUGGCGAAGGCAGCUACCUGGACCAACACUGGCACUGAGGCACGAAAGCGUGGGAGCAAACA